GAGACAGUGGCAGGGCCAAGGUCAAGCCCCAGCCGACUUUCACUGAGGAUGACCACUGCGAUGACUGCUAAGAUGCUGACUGCUUUGAUGACAGAUCGAACGUCUUUUGAGAUGCUGGAUCCAGUGACUGCUGGGGUACUGGAUCCAGUGACUGCUGGGGUGCUGAAGGGUAGAUGUGUGGAUGAGACCAUGGGUGCUGAAAUAGAACAAAAGAGUUCAAAUUCA